CAAUAGCGUAUAUUUAAGUUGUUGCAGUUAAAAAGCUCGUAGUUGGAUUUCGGGUAGGAUUUGCCGGUCCGUCUUUGAGAUGUGUACUGGUAAGUCCUAUCUUCUUGUCGGGGACCAGCUCCUGGGCUUCACUGUCCGGGACUGGGAGCCGACGAAGUUACUUUGAGUAAAUUAGAGUGUUCAAAGCAAGCCUACGCUCUGAAUAUAUUAGCAUGGAAUAACACGAUAGGACUCUGGCUUAUCUUGUUGGUCUGUGAGACCAGAGUAAUGAUUAAGAGGGACAGUCGGGGGCAUUCGUAUUCCGUUGUCAGAGGUGAAAUUCUUGGAUUUACGGAAGACGAACAUCUGCGAAAGCAUUUGCCAAGGAUGUUUUCAUUGA
rnacentral:rRNA from 1 species